UUUAUGGAGAGUUUGAUCCUGGCUCAGGAUGAACGCUGGCGGCGUGCCUAAUACAUGCAAGUCGAGCGAACGGACGAGAAGCUUGCUUCUCUGAUGUUAGCGGCGGACGGGUGAGUAACACGUGGAUAACCUACCUAUAAGACUGGGAUAACUUCGGGAAACCGGAGCUAAUACCGGAUGAUAUUUUGAACCGCAUGGUUCAAAAGUGAAAGACGGUCUUGCUGUCACUUAUAGAUGGAUCCGCGCUGCAUUAGCUAGUUGGUAAGGUAACGGCUUACCAAGGCAACGAUGCAUAGCCGACCUGAGAGGGUGAUCGGCCACACUGGAACUGAGACACGGUCCAGACUCCUACGGGAGGCAGCAGUAGGGAAUCUUCCGCAAUGGGCGAAAGCCUGACGGAGCAACGCCGCGUGAGUGAUGAAGGUCUUCGGAUCGUAAAACUCUGUUAUUAGGGAAGAACAUAUGUGUAAGUAACUGUGCACAUCUUGACGGUACCUAAUCAGAAAGCCACGGCUAACUACGUGCCAGCAGCCGCGGUAAUACGUAGGUGGCAAGCGUUAUCCGGAAUUAUUGGGCGUAAAGCGCGCGUAGGCGGUUUUUUAAGUCUGAUGUGAAAGCCCACGGCUCAACCGUGGAGGGUCAUUGGAAACUGGAAAACUUGAGUGCAGAAGAGGAAAGUGGAAUUCCAUGUGUAGCGGUGAAAUGCGCAGAGAUAUGGAGGAACACCAGUGGCGAAGGCGGCUUUCUGGUCUGUAACUGACGCUGAUGUGCGAAAGCGUGGGGAUCAAACAGGAUUAGAUACCCUGGUAGUCCACGCCGUAAACGAUGAGUGCUAAGUGUUAGGGGGUUUCCGCCCCUUAGUGCUGCAGCUAACGCAUUAAGCACUCCGCCUGGGGAGUACGACCGCAAGGUUGAAACUCAAAGGAAUUGACGGGGACCCGCACAAGCGGUGGAGCAUGUGGUUUAAUUCGAAGCAACGCGAAGAACCUUACCAAAUCUUGACAUCCUUUGACAACUCUAGAGAUAGAGCCUUCCCCUUCGGGGGACAAAGUGACAGGUGGUGCAUGGUUGUCGUCAGCUCGUGUCGUGAGAUGUUGGGUUAAGUCCCGCAACGAGCGCAACCCUUAAGCUUAGUUGCCAUCAUUAAGUUGGGCACUCUAAGUUGACUGCCGGUGACAAACCGGAGGAAGGUGGGGAUGACGUCAAAUCAUCAUGCCCCUUAUGAUUUGGGCUACACACGUGCUACAAUGGACAAUACAAAGGGCAGCGAAACCGCGAGGUCAAGCAAAUCCCAUAAAGUUGUUCUCAGUUCGGAUUGUAGUCUGCAACUCGACUACAUGAAGCUGGAAUCGCUAGUAAUCGUAGAUCAGCAUGCUACGGUGAAUACGUUCCCGGGUCUUGUACACACCGCCCGUCACACCACGAGAGUUUGUAACACCCGAAGCCGGUGGAGUAACCUUUUAGGAGCUAGCCGUCGAAGGUGGGACAAAUGAUUGGGGUGAAGUCGUAACAAGGUAGCCGUAUCGGAAGGUGCGGCUGGAUCACCUCCUUUCU
rnacentral:rRNA from 1 species